UAAACUGGAGGAAGGUGGGGAUGACGUCAAGUCAUCAUGGCCCUUACGACCAGGGCUACACACGUGCUACAAUGGCAUAUACAAAGAGAAGCGACCUCGCGAGAGCAAGCGGACCUCAUAAAGUAUGUCGUAGUCCGGAUUGGAGUCUGCAACUCGACUCCAUGAAGUCGGAAUCGCUAGUAAUCGUAGAUCAGAAUGCUACGGUGAAUACGUUCCCGGGCCUUGUACACACCGCCCGUCACACCAUGGGAGUGGGUUGCAAAAGAAGUAGGUAGCUUAACCUUCGGGAGGGCGCUUACCACUUUGUGAUUCAUGACUGGGGUGAAGUCGUAACAAGGUAACCGUAGGGGAACCUGCGGUUGGAUCACCUCCUU
rnacentral:rRNA from 1 species